UACGUAGGGUCCGAGCGUUGUCCGGAAUUACUGGGCGUAAAGAGCUUGUAGGCGGUUUGUCGCGUCGUUUGUGAAAACUUGGGGCUCAACCUUAAGCUUGCAGGCGAUACGGGCAGACUAGAGUACUUCAGGGGAGACUGGAAUUCCUGGUGUAGCGGUGAAAUGCGCAGAUAUCAGGAGGAACACCGGUGGCGAAGGCAGCUCGCUGGGACGUUACUGACACUGAGGCGCGAAAGCGUGGGGAGCGAACAGG
rnacentral:rRNA from 1 species